UACGUAGGGCGCAAGCGUUGUCCGGAAUUAUUGGGCGUAAAGAGCUCGUAGGCGGUCUGUUACGUCGGCUGUGAAAACCUGGGGCUCAACCCCGGGCCUGCAGCCGAUACGGGCAGACUAGAGUUCGGCAGGGGAGACUGGAAUUCCUGGUGUAGCGGUGAAAUGCGCAGAUAUCAGGAGGAACACCGGUGGCGAAGGCGGGUCUCUGGGCCGAAACUGACGCUGAGGAGCGAAAGCGUGGGGAGCAAACAGG
rnacentral:rRNA from 1 species